UGUACAAAGGUAGCAUAAUCACUUGUCUUUUAAUUGAAGUCUGGUAUGAAUGGUUUGAUGAAAAAUUUACUUUCUUUAAUUUAUAUAAAUAAAUUAAUGUUUGGAUUAAAAAGUCUAGAUUUUAUUAUAGGACGAGAAGACCCUAUAAAACUUUAUUAUUAUAAGUUUGGAUUGAUGUUGAUUAUUUAGGUCUAAUUUUUUAUAAUAAUUUGGUUGGGAGGACAAAAAAAAUUGUUUAACUUUUUUUAUUUUUGUCAUAGAUAAAUGUAUGGUUGAUCUUUUUUUAGGAAUAUUAUGAUAAAGUUACUUUAGGGAUAACAGCGUUAUUAUUUUGGAGAGUUCAUAUUGAUAAAAUAGUUUGCGACCUCGAUGUUGGAUUAAAAUUAGAGACGGGGGUAGAUUAUCGUUUUUCUAGGUCUGUUCGACCUUUAAAUUUUUACAUGAUCUGAGUUCAAACCGGA
rnacentral:rRNA from 1 species